CCCUUAGAUGUUCUGGGCCGCACGCGUGCUACACUGAUGCAUUCAACGAGUCUAAAACCUGGUCUGAUAGGGCUGGGUAAUCUUUUGAAAGUGCAUCGUGAUUGGGAUAGAUGAUUGCAAUUCUUCAUCUUCAACGAGGAAUGCCUAGUAAACGCAAGUCAUCAGCUUGCAUUGAUUACGUCCCUGCCCUUUGUACACACCGCCCGUCGCUCCUACCGAUUGAAUGAUCCGAUGAAUACCCUGGAUUGAGAGUACGAAUAGGUUCGCUUAUUUCUGCUGCUCGAGAAGUGGAGUAAAUCUUAUCAUUUAGAGGAAGGAGAAGUCGUAACA
rnacentral:rRNA from 1 species